AACGAACGCUGGCGGCAUGGAUUAGGCAUGCAAGUCGAACGAAGUAGCAAUACUUAGUGGCGAAAGGGUGAGGAACGCGUGAGUAAUCUGCCCUCAAGUUGGGAAUAACAGUUGGAAACGACUGCUAAUACCGAAUGUGGCUUUAGAAACGCAUGUUUUUAUGGCUAAAGAUUUAUUGCUUGAGGAUGAGCUCGCGUCCCAUUAGCUAGUUGGUGAGGUAACGGCUCACCAAGGCGAUGAUGGGUAGCUGGUCUGAGAGGAUAGUCAGCCACACUGGGACUGAGACACUGCCCAGACUCCUACGGGAGGCUGCAGUCGAGAAUCUUGGGCAAUGCGCGAAAGCGUGACCCAGCAAUGCCGCGUGUGUGAUGAAGGUCUUCGGAUUGUAAAACACUGUCACCCGGGACGAAUUUAUGACGGUACCGGGGGAGGAAGCCACGGCUAACUACGUGCCAGCAGCCGCGGUAAAAC
rnacentral:rRNA from 1 species